rnacentral:lncRNA from 1 species
UGAUCAGCUCCCUUCUUUAUUGUUACUUCACAUCAUCUGUUCCAAUUUGCAUAUUACAAUAUCAAAUAAGAUGAUCCUUAUGUUAAAACAAUGGAAUCUGCCACAUUGAUGAUGAAGUGCCUGCAGAACUUGUUGAGCAACUGGACAUUGAGUAGGACAUAAUCCUGUGAUUCUAUUUGUUGGCAUCUUUGAUUGUGUUUAAAAACAAACUCCCGAUUAUGUGAUCUUGGAUCCCGUUUAAUUAAACCCUGAUCCCAUUUAAUUAGAACCCACAUCUUGACAAGUGUCCCUUG